rnacentral:rRNA from 1 species
UACGAAGGGGGCUAGCGUUGUUCGGAUUUACUGGGCGUAAAGCGCACGUAGGCGGAUCGUUAAGUCGGGGGUGAAAUCCUGGAGCUCAACUCCAGAACUGCCUUCGAUACUGGCGAUCUUGAGUCCGGAAGAGGUGAGUGGAACUCCUAGUGUAGAGGUGGAAUUCGUAGAUAUUCGCAAGAACACCGGUGGCGAAGGCGGGUCUCUGGGCCGUUACUGACGCUGAGGAGCGAAAGCGUGGGGAGCGAACAGG